rnacentral:lncRNA from 1 species
UUUUUAAAGAAAGUUGAACGUCGUUCAAAAUGUGUCUUUAGAUCGUGUCACAUGAAAUGAACCCGCCAUCCUGAACAUAUUUUAUUCAACAUUUAAGAAUUUGAUUUAGGUCAUAUAAAAUGCACACCCGAAUUUAUUAAGGUGAAUUAAUAAAAGUGCACCUAAAGUGACUAACGCGUUAUUAUCUUUGGUGAGGGCCGUAAAAUUUGCUAAACGAACCAUUCCGAAUUCUACGUAUUUUAAUAUAACCGUUUAUCAAGGGCCCCACAUUUUAUAUUUUAUUUGGCGAGGCUCGUCUCGUUUUAUUUUAAAGCCGACCUAAAGUAAACUACAAUUUUCUAUUCAGUUGUCUCUAAAUUAAAAGGAAAACCCUACUUAAUUGAAGAUCCCAAAGCCUUAAUACAACUGUAAACAAUUAAGCCCAAGAGUUGCAUAAGUAAAGCAAACCAUUUUAACUAAUAGCCCCAAGUUCAAUGUUCAGGGACGGGGCAGACUGGGCCUCAAGGAAGCCCAAAUGCAUGACAAUACAUAAAGUGGGCCUGGUUUCAGCUUUAACUCCCUGGGAAUUAACAGGUCAUUGAGUCAAAAUUCUCAUCAGCAAAGCUUCAAUGGAUUCACUUAUUACUGAUGAUAUAUUACUUAUUUAUACUACACCAAUUUGACUCAAAAGCUAUUCAUAAGAGUCAUCCUGAUUUGUUAAAAAUGAACGAAUGUGCUAACUCGGACUUACGUGAAAAUACAGGACAUUCUUUGUUUGUUGAAUGCGCACAACUGCGAGUAAUUGACUCACAGUCACAACAUGACUAACAUUGGGCAUGGUUUAAGCAAAUUUAUGAACCUGUUAAUGAGAAAAUAAUUAAAACUAAUGGGAACUAUUAACUUCAACUUUUGCCCCGAAAUGUCAAUAUUAACAUUGAAACAGUGAACUCAGGGAAACCUACUGAACUUAUGGACCAAAUUGAAGUUAAACAAUAAUUCCCAAACAAGUAGGACCUAUUAUCAUUAAGCACCUGCUGGAAACCCAGGUAGUUUAUAUGGUCCAAAGCCAACCAGAACAACUCAAAUUUCAAUAACAAAAGGAGAUCUAGUUGAACAUAACACUAAGCUAAACAAUAGUAAUACUGAAUGAUUCUACCAAUUAACAGCCUUAACAGUCCAAAAUUAGUUCAGUUAGAUAGCCCCAAAUUUCAAGUAAUCAAAUCAUUUCACAAAUUAAAAUUAAAUAGAGAUGAAAUGAAUACAUAAUUCGACUUAAAACAGUAAUUCGAACAACAUUUCUUCAUGUAUUCUCAAACCAAGUUUAUACAGAUCCUUCAAGUUCAUAAGAGGUCAAAAUAUACCUGGAAAUGUAAAAUCACAAGAGAGAAUAGAGAGGUCAGCUAGGUAGCAACAGAUGAGGCAAUCACAGCCAAUCCCAUGCAACGACAAACAACCAAAUAAAGGUAAUUUGACCCAACACAGCUUCACAUUGAACCCAGAAAUGCACACAGAAGAGAAUAGCUAACAGAACACUCAAAACAGAUUCCAAAAACAAAUAUCAACUUUAAAUUAUCGAAAGCAACUCGAAAUGGAACUUAAAAUACUCCUGGAACUUUACUGAUGUAAUGCUCAACCAAAAACCCACUUAAUUUGACUUAAACUCAAACGAAAUGAACACUGACUAAAGCUGGAAUUGAAUAUAUGAAUCAGCAUUCAAAUACAUCAAAAUCAACUCAGAAUUUUCAAUGGAAUAGUAUUCUUUUUUUUGGAUUUUGUGUUAUUUUUUUCUUUUUUUAUUUUUUGUUUUCUGAAGGUUUUGAAAUUUGAAUUUUAGAUUGAGGAGAUCAAAUAUGCAGAAUGCUUUUCGGGGGGAGUUUUUGGAGCUCAAAACCAUGUCAACGAAGUAAAAAGCAUACCCUUUUAUAGCACAAAUGAGGGCAGCCCUUAGAUUUUAAGUUUUCACUCUUAGUCCUUUUUUAACUUUCAUUUUUGCUUAGAUGUCCCUUAUUUCCUGACUUGCUACUCAAGUAAGCCGACUAACUUCCCUGAAAUUACAACUAAAUACAUAUUCUAGAAGGUUCUAGUAUUAGCCACAACAUUUUAUACAAUUAUCAAUUACCCAAAACACCCCUGAAACCCCUGAAAUUACAAACCUUAUCCAAUUGACCCCAACCCCUUCUUUCCCUGAUUAAAAACAUCAACCCAAACCAAUUUACCCUAAAUUCAAUUAACAAAUCAAUUAAUCCUAAGAUUAGACAAUUAUAACAAUAAGAAAUGAUACUGAAAUGAGGAAUUAGUACACUAAGCCAAACAAACUCUUGAAACGAAUUUAACCAAAACAGAGUCAAAUAGCAACGACCAAUUAUAUUUAAUUAAAAUUCAAAGAGAAACAUGGAAGACACUUAACAAACAGGAAAUAACUAAGAUCUGCUCUAAUUAGCAACAAUUAACUAAGAUUCAACUAAACUAAUCAAACAUGAAUAAAAACUACUUUAACAAAUACUGAAUUAUUAGUAGAGAUAAACUAGUUCGUGAGAAUUGGAGAAAAAGAGAAGCAAAAUUCAUUGGUGAAGAAACGCCGGCCACCCAUUAUUUUCUGAAUUCGGCCAAAUGAGAGGACGUUUGAGCGCCUUGGAUUGUCAAGUCUUCAUGCAGAUGAUGAGGGUAUCAUAAUGUGCCAAUUUGGCACGAUUUGGUGCAUUAAGGGUUUCGCCGGAAACCUUUGAAUUCAAAUUCGACGAGUUCCAAAGUGAUUCGAACAAAGCUAAUUGGUGUUUUAGGAUGAUGGUGGAAAAAGGGAAUCAGUGGUGUGAGUUUGGAGGGAUUUGGACGAAGCGGCAUCGUGGCCGGAAAAUAUUCUAAUGAAGAUUCGAAGGUCAUUGUGAGAUCGAGGGAAGGCAAUAGCAGGAAUGGAAAGAGGAGAAAAAGGCGGUUCUACGUUGUAAGUUUCAAGGGGCUUACAGGUGGGCCGCCGCCAGCGGUGAUUUUCGGCUGGCGUUGUUAGGGUGGCGGGUGGCGGAAUCGGCGGAGACAUUGUACUAGGAAGAGAGACUGUUGUUCUUUAGGGUUAUGAUAUUUUCAGACAGUUUUAUAAAAAAUUGAAGAACAAACAGAGGCCGUUGGAUUAGAUUAAAUGAAGGGCUCAGAUUGAAGGCGUUGAAACGACGUCAUUUGGUUUUUUACUGAGGCGGACCGAGUGGACACUUUUGGGCCGGACUGGGGAGUUUUAAGUUUGGGCUAAGACACUUUGGCCCAAUUCAUGUAUAUAACGCAGCCCCUUUUUGUUUAUAUACUUUUGUUCUCUUUUUGCUUUUAUUUCUUUUAUUUUGUAUUUUGUUCAUUUUCUUUAUUUUCAUUUGUA